rnacentral:rRNA from 1 species
GACGAACGCUGGCGGUGUGCUUAACACAUGCAAGUCGAACGGAAAGGCCCUGCUUUUGUGGGGUGCUCGAGUGGCGAACGGGUGAGUAACACGUGAGUAACCUGCCCUUGACUUUGGGAUAACUUCAGGAAACUGGGGCUAAUACCGGAUAGGAGCUCCUGCUGCAUGGUGGGGGUUGGAAAGUUUCGGCGGUUGGGGCUGGACUCGCGGCUUAUCAGCUUGUUUGUGGGGUAGUGGCUUACCAAGGCUUUGACGGGUAGCCGGCCUGAGAGGGUGACCGGCCACAUUGGGACUGAGAUACGGCCCAGACUCCUACGGGAGGCAGCAGUGGGGAAUAUUGCACAAUGGGCGGAAGCCUGAUGCAGCAACGCCGCGUGCGGGAUGACGGCCUUCGGGUUGUAAACCGCUUUCGCCUGUGACGAAGCGUGAGUGACGGUAAUGGGUAAAGAAGCACCGGCUAACUACGUG